rnacentral:rRNA from 1 species
CCUUACCAACCCUUGACAUGCCUUGACCGCCACAGAGAUGUGGUUUUCCUUUCGGGGACAGGGACACAGGUGCUGCAUGGCUGUCGUCAGCUCGUGUCGUGAGAUGUUGGGUUAAGUCCCGCAACGAGCGCAACCCCCACUGUUAGUUGCCAGCAUUUAGUUGGGCACUCUAGCAGAACUGCCGGUGACAAGCCGGAGGAAGGCGGGGAUGACGUCAAGUCCUCAUGGCCCUUACGGGUUGGGCUACACACGUGCUACAAUGGUGGUGACAGUGGGCAGCGACCACGCGAGCGGAAGCGAAUCUCCAAAAGCCAUCUCAGUUCGGAUUGCACUCUGCAACUCGGGUGCAUGAAGUUGGAAUCGCUAGUAAUCGCGGAUCAGCACGCCGCGGUGAAUACGUUCCCGGGCCUUGUACACACCGCCCGUCACACCAUGGGAGUUGGCUUUACCUGAAGCCGGUGCGCUAACCGCAAGGAGGCAGCCGACCACGGUACGGUCAGCGACUGGGGUGAAGU